CUACGGAGGAUCCGAGCGUUAUCCGGAUUUAUUGGGUUUAAAGGGUGCGCAGGCGGGAGAUUAAGUCGGCGGUGAAAUUUUUCAGCUCAACUGUAAAAGUGUAUUCGAAACUGGUUUCCUUGGGUGUAGAUGAAGUAGGCGGGAUUUGUGGUGUAGCGGUGAAAUGCAUAGAUAUCACGAGGAACUCCGAUUGCGCAGGCAGCUUACUAAACUACUACUGACGCUCAGGCACGAAGGCGUGGGGAUCAAACAGGGUUAGAUACCCUGGUAGUCCACGCAGUAAACGAUGAUUACUAGCUGUUUGCGAUACAAUGUAAGCGGCUGAGCGAAAGCGUUAAGUAAUCCACCUGGGGAGUACGUUCGCAAGAAUGAAACUCAAAUGAAUUGACGGGG
rnacentral:rRNA from 1 species